UCUCUCUCUCUCUAGGCAUUUUGGCCUUUUCUACUCAGUUAAGGGCAAACUCAGAUACCGCCGCCUUAGGCGCACUGGUAUUCCGUCCACCUUCCGGUGCAAUCUACCAUGUAGAUUUCAGUUUUCAUUUGCACAUUCUCUGAGAACUAGUUAGAUUAUACCAAAUGGACUGUAAAUUCAGACGGUCCCAGGGCUUUUAGGUUCAGUUCAUCCUUUCAAUUUUCGUAACAUUCACAAUUCGGACACCGCGUAGUGGUGGAGUGGUAUUCGAGCUGUUGUAUUGAUUAUUCAAUAGAGAGCUGUAUUUUCUGUUGGAAUUGAUUUGGAAUAGUUAGUUUCAUCAACCGACUGUGUGGCUGAACUUUCGGUGAAGCUAAAAGCCUAAAACUAUAUUUUCGUCGGGGUUAUAUGCGAAAUGGUUGAUUUGGAAAAUUCUUCCCCGGUUGAGGUUUCCAGAGAUGCUGGUUUAUCUUCUUCAGGUUAUAUUGAACCAGUGGCGGUGGUGGCUCCGGCGAAGAAGAAACGGAACCUGCCUGGAAUGCCAGAUCCGGCGGCGGAGGUGAUUGCUUUGUCGCCGGAGAGUUUACUGGCGACGAACCGGUUCGUAUGCGAGAUCUGCAACAAAGGUUUCCAGCGGGACCAAAACCUGCAGCUUCACCGGCGAGGCCACAACCUUCCGUGGAAGCUCCGACAGCGGACUAGCAAUGAGGUUCGUAAGCGCGUCUAUGUUUGCCCGGAACCUUCCUGCGUCCACCAUAACCCGGCGAGAGCGCUUGGCGAUCUCACUGGAAUAAAGAAGCAUUUCUGUAGAAAGCACGGCGAGAAGAAAUGGAAGUGCGAGAGAUGCUCGAAGAAAUACGCCGUACAAUCCGAUUGGAAAGCGCACAUGAAAACUUGCGGAACUCGAGAGUACAAAUGCGAUUGCGGCACUUUAUUUUCAAGGAGGGAUAGCUUUAUUACACAUCGAGCCUUUUGCGAUGUAUUGGCGGAGGAAAGUGCUCGUGCUCAAACCCUAGCAGUUCAAAACUCUGAAGGAAAGGAAUCCACCACUUCAAAAGCCGCCGUGACUUCUCCUCCUCCGCCGCCCCUAACACCGUCGACCACGGUGGUUUCUCCGGCGUUAUCGAUUCACAGCUCAGAGCUAGCUGAUAAUCCGAUAAGACUUCCAUCUGUUUCAACGCCUGCAGCGACGACAUGCUUGACCUCCGCGUCUGUCAAUAGUACCACAAAUGCAAGCGCUAACGGCAGUAGCUCAAACAAUGUGUUUGGAAAUUGUACUGUUUUUGCCCCUUCUGCGUCAAUUUCAGGGACGACCCAGAUAUCCCCAACAUUACCACCACCCAGUUUACCCGCGUCAAUAGUACCCUACGAUUGCGCCUCUACUCGCCCUUCUGCUUCCGCAGUUAAUCCCACAUCGCUCUCUCUCUCCACAUCUCUCUAUCUUUCCUCUAAAGGAUCCUCCCUCUUUGCCCCAUCUGACCAAGAUCGUCUGCAGUACACGUGGUCCACUCAACCGGCAGCCAUGUCUGCCACCGCCCUGCUGCAGAAGGCAGCAGAAAUGGGGGCAACAGCGUCUAAUCCGUCGUUGUUUCGUGGCUUUGGGAUGGCCACUUCUUCGACUGGUCAAGAUACCUCUGCCACUAUUCAAUGGAGUAGGAAUUUGAACCGAGAUCAUCGGAAUGGCUCUUCGUUAACGGCUGGUGUAGGGCUUGAUCUCCCAUCCGGACCUGACGGUUCUGGUUUGAUGAUGGCUGGAGGCCCAUUUUGCUCGUUUGGAAGUCAGCCCAUGACGAGAGAUCUUCUUGGUCUUGGCUUAGGCGGUGGUGGGGCCUCUGCAAGUAGAUUCUCGGCUUUGAUUGCUUCCAUGGGUGGUGGGUCUGGUUACCCCGUUGCAGCUUCAGACGCCUGCGGCGGAAGUGGCAAUGGAAGCCCCUCCGGCGACGCUUGGGAUCAAGAUGAAAAGCAUUGAAGGUCGAAACUCAACCGUUGAUUGCUGGCUGGAACUGCUCAUAUUCUUAUAUGGAGGUCAGACUCAAAGCCAUGCAUUCUUUUCUUUUUACUCUCACCAUGUGUAAUUAAUGUAAAUUUUUUCUUGCUCUUCGAGAUUACAUAUGAUUUCGGCCAACACCCUUGAAUGUUUGUAAUCGGAGCUAGCUCCAAUUAAAGAGUUGAAAUUUUGAAAAGGUAACUUUCCCGAGAUUGUCUCUGUGGAAGGUGACAUCGGGGCUUCAAUUGCGGUGAGGUUUUCAACAAAUUGGUACUUGAACAUUAAUGUUCAUAAUGGUUCUGUUCAUUUGACUUGUCGAUUCCCGGUGGUCCAAGUUCCGAUCUGGUCCAUUGGUCAGACCGUCAAACUAUAUUUAAUGAGAUGAGUUGGCUGAGGUGGUCCUCCACCGACUCCUCGCCUCAUAGGUCCGUCCAUCUCCACGGUGGUUGCCGCCCCAUCCGUCGCCCGCCGAACUGUCACUGUUUGUGUAUGUCACAGUGACCUAACUGGGUAGUUACAAAACCCAUCCGUAUGGUUUGAAAA